AUGUAACUGACGAGUCCCAAAUAGGACGAAAUGCGUACCCUGGAU
rnacentral:hammerhead_ribozyme from 1 species